CUUGAAAUGAUCCAAAAUGAUGCAGAGCUCAUGGGCUUGAAGUUAAUCCAAGCACCACUGGUUGAUGUAGAAAUUAGAGGAGUUCCUGCCCUAAGAUUCAUGGGAGACAUUGUCUGGAAGUGACAUUGUCUUGAACCGAAAGCCACAUGAAGAUCGACAUCUUGCAAGAGGCAAAGACCCGAAACUCUGAUAGCAUAAUAUCUGCUGCAUGGCAAGUAGUCGAUAGGCUUCGUAUCUGAUCGGGGUUUCAAAGCAGGUUAUUUAUGGAGCAGUUGAAAGGAAAAUGUUGCAUGCUGACUUUAUCCAACCCCUCUUUUUUCCCCCCAAAAAACAUGUUUAUGCUGAAAUGUAGUACUGCUUGCCUGUGUGGCUGUGCUUGUUUAGCUGAUUAUUUGCAAAGUGAAGGGGAAGAUGGGAGGGAAUUUUGAUCUACAUGGUUAUCUGUUCUAGCUUUCUUAUCUACACAACUCAUGCAUUUCAUUCAUGAGACAAAUAUAUGAGAACGACUGUCUUCAAGGUGUAUUAUUUCCACUUCUGAUGCUUGCAAUGGUAAAGAUGAGUUGCCUGUA